rnacentral:tRNA from 2 species
GGUCCCGUAGCUCAGUUGGAUAGAGCAUCAGUUUCCUAAACUGAGGGCCACUGGUUCGAAUCCAGUCGGGGCCGCCA